UACGUAGGGGGCGAGCGUUAUCCGGAUUUACUGGGCGUAAAGCGCGUUAAGGCGGCCGGCAAAGUUGAGGGUGAAAUUUCGGGGCUCAACCCCGAAACUGCCCACAAUACUGGUCGGCUAGAGUGCGAGAGAGGAAGGUGGAAUUCCCGGUGUAGUAGUGAAAUGCGUAGAUAUCGGGAGGAACACCAGUGGCGAAGGCGGGUCUCUGGGCAGUAACUGACGCUGAGGAGCGAAAGCGUGGGGAGCGAACAGG
rnacentral:rRNA from 1 species